UAGGGAAUCUUCGGCAAUGGGGGGAACCCUGACCGAGCAACGCCGCGUGAGUGAAGAAGGUUUUCGGAUCGUAAAGCUCUGUUGUUAAGGAAGAACGAGUGUGAGAAUGGAAAGUUCAUGCUGUGACGGUACUUAACCAGAAAGGGACGGCUAACUACGUGCCAGCAGCCGCGGUAAUACGUAGGUCCCGAGCGUUGUCCGGAUUUAUUGGGCGUAAAGCGAGCGCAGGCGGUUAGAAAAGUCUGAAGUGAAAGGCAGUGGCUCAACCAUUGUAGGCUUUGGAAACUGUUUAACUUGAGUGCAGAAGGGGGGAGUGGAAUUCCAUGUGUAGCGGUGAAAUGCGUAGAUAUAUGGAGGAACACCGGUGGCGAAGGCGACUCUCUGGUCUGUAACUGACGCUGAGGCUCGAAAGCGUGGGUAGCAAACAGG
rnacentral:rRNA from 1 species